UUUCCACUUGGUCUUCCAUUUGUCUUGAUCUGAUUCUCAACAACAAAUGACUGCGGCCACCCAUAUCAGAACUGCCUUUGCGUGCUCUAUUUUGCUGUGCGAGCGGUAGCUGAAAGGCCAUUGUCUGUUUGUUAUUUUAGUCAGUGAAAGGGGAUGGAGGGAUCGCCCACUCAGAAGACAUAAAUGGGAAAGACUCCAGCUACCAAACCUCGCACUCCGCGCAGAAGGCCACCACGCCGCCCGAGCCCCAGCCCCAGCCGGCAGGAGCGAGCCAGAAGGGCAAGGAGGGCUCCGCCAAGGACAAGAAGACAGCCGCCUCCGAGAGCAACAAGCAGAGGAACAACAAGCAGGAAGCCAAAGAGCCGGCCCCCUGUGCGUGUGCAGAGCCGGCAGUGGCGGUGGCCGUGGCCCAGGCCAACGCGCUGCAGAACGGGGACAGGCCCCAGAGGAGACGCGAGAAGCGGAGCCAGUCCUUCAGGGGCUUCUUCAAGGGCCUGGGACCAAAGCGGAUGUUGGACGCUCAAGUGCAAACAGACCCCGUAUCCAUUGGACCAGUUGGCAAAUCCAAGUAAACAAAUCGCCACAGUUCCCACCACGUCCUCCUGCCACCAAGAGGCCUCCUCCCUGUCCAUCUCCUCCCCAGCCCACUCCAUGUAUAUAUUUUUUCCUCUGAUGGCCAUCGAAUGAAAUUCUUCCUACAAACCAAGCCUGAGCUGUUGUAUAUUGAGGUGUAUUAUUUACGUCUCUGGUCCGAUCUUUGCUGGUAAAUAAUCGUAAGGAUGGUUUAGCAGGUUAACUCGUCAGGUCAGAAGAGUGGAUGGUGGGGUAGGGUAGAGGGAUCUUUCUGGUUAAACUAUGAAGCGUGGCAGCGACAAGUUGCAGGAAAGAAAUGGCUGCCUUGCGUAAUUAAGCUUUGUCUUAAACGGGCUCACCAAGAAGAGAGGAGAAUCUGUUUGUUUAAGUUCACCUUUCAGGGAGGGAGGACAUGGCUCUGUAUUGGGAGGUUGCCAAUUUCCUGGAGUGGAAUGUGUGGGGAAUGAGAAAAGGAGUGAAUAAGAGUUGUUUUUUACAUAGGGUCCUUGAAAGUUACUGACAAGAGGGGCAAGAUUGACUGGAGAGGCCUUGAAACAGUUUGGGUAAACAAUUGCUUUUUUGAGGCUCAGUGACAAGGGCGAGGAUUACAACUUAAAAAACAAAACACAAAAAAACAAAUAAAUGCAGUUGCUAGUUUAUUUUGCAACACAAGGGGGCGCCCAGGGCUCCAUGUGAAUCCUGCAUCCUGUGUCCCUAACAAAGAUGUGGUCCCUGCGAUCUUACGUUCUUCAUGUUUCUCAGGUGGCUGAGGGGCUUGCUUCAUCUGUUCUGUCUGGCACUUGUCUCACGUCUGUCUGUAAUUUCCUAAUGUUCUCAGGAUGUGCUCUGGUAAAACCCUCCCCGUAACCCCAAUUAAUAAAAAUUUACAGAAGAUUA